rnacentral:rRNA from 1 species
CCUACGGGAGGCAGCAGUAGGGAAUUUUCGUCAAUGGGCGCAAGCCUGAACGAGCAAUGCCGCGUGAACGAGGAAGGUCUUCGGAUCGUAAAGUUCUGUUGAAGGGGAAAAAGAGCGGAGAGAGGAAAUGAACUCCGAUUGAUAUUACCCUUCGAGGAAGUCACGGCUAACUACGUGCCAGCAGCCGCGGUAAUACGUAGGUGGCGAGCGUUAUCCGGAAUGAUUGGGCGUAAAGGGUGCGUAGGCGGCCUGCUAAGUCUGGAGUGAAAGGUACCGGCUCAACCGGUACAGGCUCUGGAAACUGGCGGGAGAGAGGGGAGGAGAGGGAGGUGGAACGCCAUGUGUAGCGGUAAAAUGCGUAGAUAUAGGGAAGAACACGAGUGGCGAAGGCGGCCGCCGGGCCUGUUGACUGACGCGGGGGCACGAAAGCGUGGGGAGAAAAUAGGAUUAGAGACCCUAGUAGUC